AAAUUCGCUUUUAGCGACCGAUUUAGAGACCGAAUUAUUUUGGUCACUAUAGAGACCGAAUUAGAGACCAAAAUGUCAAGAUUUAAAAUAAAAAAUAUUUUGGUCACUAAGUCGGUCGCUAUUAAAUUUAGAGACCGAUUUAGAGACCGAAAAUUAGCGACCAAAUUAUUUUGGUCACUAAAUUCCGUCGCCUAACCCAAAUCAAUUUUUUAAAAUCAAUUUUUACUUGUCACUUUUCAGUUUCCUA
rnacentral:lncRNA from 1 species